rnacentral:tRNA from 2 species
CGGGGUGUAGCGCAGUGGCUAGCGCGCUUGCUUUGGGAGCAAGAUGUCGGGGGUUCGACUCCCCCCACCCCGACCA